ensembl:lncRNA LINC00499 long intergenic non-protein coding RNA 499
AUGGUGUGCUUGUCUGAUGGACAGGGCAGCUUAGGGGAAUAAGUCUCUGCAGCGUUGUAGUGAAGAGAGAAUACGGGACAACUGCAGGACCACAGCUCAGCCAAGACACAACCACAUGACUGAAGACAGAGAUCAUCUGGGCUCCCUUGCAGCUGAGUUGGCCAUAUGACUGACAGCAAGCCCUGGAAUGCAGCCAGAAGUGAUAGAAGCCUCUUUCACACCAUGCUCCUAAAAUAUUCCAAGAAAUUUUCCAAACCUACUCUUUUUAGUCUGUGCAUCUGGAAGUGAAAGUUUUAGAAAGGGUAAAGUCACUUAAUGGAAAGGGCCCAGAUCUAGCCCCUCGGAGCCAAGCUGUCCAACUAGAAAUUCUGCAUUAGUAUUUGCGAGUCGCAAAUAGUCUGUCAUGGAGUUUAGAUUGUGAGUCUCCCUGCUAGAAGAUGGGUCGCAAUUGGAAGAGCGCUUUAUAUUCCCUGCGCCACUGCCAAAUGAUCCUAGAGGUUAACAGAAAACAGCAAUGGGGCUUCCAAAGACAAGGACUGAAUCAUAUACUUGGUAAGACUAGGAAUGAUGAGAACAUUGUAUUCUUCAAACAAAGUAACAGCUAGACAGACAGGCAAAAGAACGAAGAAUCUGGCCUCCAAGUAAUCCUUAAUUAUAACCCUGCAACCUAAAAGGACAAGAAUAUAAAGUGGGUCAAGAAGAAAUACAUGAAUUAUAUAAGUAAAGAAAACUGAAACACAUCUCCAGGCACAAAGCAAGCUAGCUGUAAUUUACUACUAUAAAAUUCAAGAAUUUUGUACCCUAGCUUAUGCCAUUAAUCCAUAAAGAUACCAAAGCCUUCAAUAUAAAAUGAUACUAGAAGCUGUAAUUUAAUUAAGGCUGAGGUACUGUAGUUAUUAAUUACAUGUGAAAUAGUAAAUAUUUAAAAUAUUUGAAAAUUGCUCAUAUUUCUUAAAAUUGAGUAAUAUGCUAUAAAUCUCAAAAGGCAGGGUAAUUGCAGUCUCCGUGGCAAGUCUGUUUGUACAGCAAAACCUGUAUAGCAUCUCUGGAGAACUAAGGUAUAAUCUGCAGCUGUGUAAUUGAAGAAGAUCUGACACAUGGAACUAUACAAGUUAUUUUCAACUAGCAGAGCUUAGGAUAUUUUUCUUUCAGAAUAAAAGUGCAGAAUUCUGGAUUAUAAUUCUAUUUCUACCACACUAAAAUAGCUCACAAGUGCUUAUUCUGUGUUAGAAGCAGGCCUUGAAAUGGAUAGUCCAAAUGUGUGGAAUUUCACCACUUUUUGACAAUGUAAUUUUUGAUUAAUUUUCCAACACCAUAAGCAAAAUGCACCUGAACCCAUAUACACAGUGAAUCCUGGGUGGGAAUAUUGAUUUAAAUGUGUGUUUGCAAUAAGUAAACAUCCUGAAACACA